rnacentral:tRNA from 2 species
GCGCCUGUAACUCAAUUGGAUAGAGUAUUUGAUUACGAAUCAAAAAGUUGGAGGUUCGAAUCCUCUCAGGCGUG